UACGAAGGGGGCUAGCGUUGCUCGGAAUCACUGGGCGUAAAGGUGCGUAGGCGGGUUUUUAAGUCAGGGGGGAAAUCCUGGAGCUCAACUCCAGAACUGCCUUUGAUACUGAAGAUCUUGAGUCCGGGAGAGGUGAGUGGAACUGCGAGUGUAGAGGUGAAAUUCGUAGAUAUUCGCAAGAACACCAGUGGCGAAGGCGGCUCACUGGCCCGGUACUGACGCUGGGGCACGAAAGCGUGGGGAGCAAACAGG
rnacentral:rRNA from 1 species